rnacentral:snoRNA from 1 species
UCCUCUUACAAAGGCGCACUUGCAUUGGUCAGCUUGCCUGUGCGUAAGAACUAGAGGAAUAUGAAAAUGAAUGGUGGAUUUUAUAUCGCUGGCCGCAUGAGCAGUUGGCUUCUCCACGGUUCAGAUAUUCAAAAGAU